rnacentral:rRNA from 1 species
GUCUACGCUGUAAACGAUGGAUACUAGCAUUCGGAGGUGUCGACCCCUUCGGUAGCGAAGCUAACGCGUUAAGUAUCCCGCCUGUGUAGUACGAGCGCAAGCUUAAAACAUAAAGGAAUUGACGGGGACCCGCACAAGCGGUGGAGCGUGUUCUUUAAUUCGAGGCUAAGCGAAGAACCUUACCAGGGCUUGAAAUCCUGCGAAAAGUUUGCGAAAAGCAGACCGUGCCUUCGGGAACGCAGUGACAGGUGUUGCAUGGCCGUCGU